rnacentral:rRNA from 1 species
GACUAUUGGAAAUAGAUUCCUAGGCUCUUUCAUCAAUGAAGAACGUAGUGAAAUGUGAUACUUGGUGUGAAUUGCAAAGUCAUGUGAACCAUCGAGUAUUUGAACGCAAGUUGCACUCGAUGCCAUUAAGUUGAGGCCAUGUCUGCCUGAGUGUCA